rnacentral:rRNA from 1 species
AACGAACGCUGGCGGCGUGCCUAACACAUGCAAGUCGAGCGUGAAAGUUCCUUCGGGAAUGAGUAAAGCGGCAGACGGGUGAGUAAUACAUAGGUAAUCUACCUUUGAGCUUGGGAUAACCCCGCGAAAGUGGGGCUAAUACCGGAUAAGACCACGUGACAUACGUUGCGCGGUAGAAGGUGGCUUGUAUUUAUACUGGCUAUCACUUGAGGAUGAGCCUAUGGCCUAUCAGCUUGUUGGCGGGGUAAAAGCCCACCAAGGCUAUGACGGGUAGUUGGUCUGCGAGGACGACCAACCACACUGGGACUGAGACACGGCCCAGACUCCUACGGGAGGCAGCAGUGGGGAAUAUUGGGCAAUGGGCGAAAGCCUGACCCAGCGACGCCGCGUGGGUGAUGAAGGCCUUCGGGUUGUAAAGCCCUGUCAUGCGGAAAGAACAGUUCUGUGGUUAAUACCCGCAGAAUUUGACGGUACCGCAGGAGGAAGCACCGGCUAACUCCGUGCCAGCAGCCGCCGUAAUAC